AAUUUGUGUAAAGCCCUUAGAACAGAGCUAGGUAUUAAUAGUAGAGAAUCUUGGCAGGUAUUACUGAUGAUUACUGCAGUGGACAAGCUCCAUACAGGCAGGGGCAUUUCUGUUUGUUUAGAUUUGUAUGCAGGGUGCUUGGCACAUGGAUGGUGCUCAGGAAAUAUUUGUUGGAUGAAUUAAUGAAGUGGAGAUAAUCAUAAUACCAUGUUUAUAGAAUUCCAUGAGGAUAUAAAAUAAUGUAAGUAUAUAAGUUCUUGGUAGCAUGUCUAGCUCAUAGUAGGUGGUCAAUAAAUAUUCAAUGCCUGAAUGAGGAAAAUGGGGACAAUAGUAAUACCAGCUUAGGAGGUUGUUGUGGGGAUCUAAGAUAACCCUGUAUUACCUUGUAGAGUGCCUAGCACAUAGUAGGUGCUCAGAAAAUACUUGUUGAAUGAAUGAGUGAAGUGGGGAUGACGGUAACACCAGCUCCUAGGGUUGCUGUGGGAACAGAAGAUAAGACAGGCCGAUAGCUUACUGUAUUGUGGUUGCACCUGGUAGACACUCUGUUGAGUGAAAUGAGAGGAGCUGCUAUGAGUUUCUUUCUCCUGGGGCUUAGGAGAGAAUCCUUUUGGGGUACAGAAUGGUAUGGAGUGGACACCGGUCCUCUUGAAGGAAGAAUGGGCAGCUGACUACUCCUUGGCAAGCUCUGACCUGGAUGAAAAGUUGAAUCGUUUCUUUCCCUCUUCCUCCCUAACCUGUUCUUUCUUUCCAUUAGAAUCCUUGCCCAGCAUCCAGCACUUCCUUCCUGUCCAGGAUCACCUUCUGGUGGAUCACAGGGUUGAUCAUCCGGGGCUACCACCAGCCCCUGGAGAGCAGUGGCCUCUGGUCCUUAAAGGAGGAGGACACAUUGGAACAAGUCAUGCCUGUUUUGGUAAAGAACUGGAAGAAGAAAUGCACCAAGCCUAGGAAGUAAGUUGGAUGACGAGUAUUUGUUCAGCACCUGCUGUGCACUGUUUUAUGUAAUGAGGAUACAGCAGCCCACCUGGAGCUGACAUUCUAGUGGGGAAAGAAAGGGUCAUGGACAUCAGCGGUCCAGGGAAGAAAACAAAGCAAAUGGAGAACGGCAUGCUGUGACAGACAGUGCGGGGAAGCAACUACAGAGAUAGCUCAGCAGCUCCUCCUCCUAUAGCGGGGACAUCAGUAGGCACCAUAACAGCACCACAGAGCUGCAGAAAGCCAAAACCAAGAAGGAGGAGACUUGGAAGCUGAUGGAGGCCAACACGGCACAGACAGGGCAGGUGAGAUUUGCUCCUUCAGUGAUGAUGGUGGCUGUAGCUUACAGAGCACCCACUGUGCAAAGUGCUUAUCUAUAAUACACCAUAAAGGUACUAUUUACUGCACCAGAAACUGAGGCCAGAGAGGUUUUAGUGACUUACCCAAGGUCACUGCUUUUCGGGGAUACAGACACUCACUACCACGCCUAGAUAAUUUUUGUCUUUAGUAGAGACAGGAUUUCACCAUGUUGGCUAGGCUGGUCUUGAACUCCUGGUCUCAUCUUCCCUCACCCUCCCAAAAUGCUAGGAUUACAGGUGUGAGCCAUUGCACCUGGCCUGUUUUUCAUUUCUCAUUUAGUCCUUAUGAUUAUGUCCCUGAGAAAGUCUCAGUUGGGUCCUAGGCUGCUUUUGGUACCUAACAGCUGCUAGCCUCUCUUUGUAACAAGAAGAGUGGGUUUCAAGCUCCUGUUUUGUUUUUUUUAUUUUUUAAAGAUCAUCUAUUUUGGGCAAGUGUUAAUAAUUCUUCAUUUAUGAUAGUGAUCCAAAGUUUAUUUAAAAAAAUAAAUGUGAUUAUAUUUCUUAAAAAAUAGGGAAUGGAAUUUUUAAUGGUAAAAAAUAAGCAUACAGAUAAAGAAAAACAACAAACCCAUGAAAAGUGGUAGCAGGGGAAUGAGGCUGGGACACUUUCUUUUAGAUCUGCUCUAUUGUCAUAAUUAAAAGAACUAGAGGAGCAAGAUCAAACAAAUUCAAAUGCUAGAGGAAGACAAAUAACUAAGUUCAGAGCAGCACUGAAGGAGAUAGAGACACA